GUGGGGGAUAUUGCACAAUGGAGGAAACUCUGAUGCAGCGACGCCGCGUGAGUGAAGAAGUAUUUCGGUAUGUAAAGCUCUAUCAGCAGGGAAGAUAAUGACAGUACCUGACUAAGAAGCCCCGGCUAACUACGUGCCAGCAGCCGCGGUAAUACGUAGGGGGCAAGCGUUAUCCGGAUUUACUGGGUGUAAAGGGAGCGUAGACGGAAUGGCAAGUCUGAAGUGAAAUCCUGCGGCUUAACUGCAGAAUUGCUUUGGAAACUGUCAAUCUGGGGUGUUGGAGAGGUAAGCGGAAUUCCUGGUGUAGCGGUGAAAUGCGUAGAUAUCAGGAAGAACACCGGAGGCGAAGGCGGCUUACUGGACAAUAACUGACGUUGAGGCUCGAAAGCGUGGGAAGCAAACAGGAUUAGAAACCCCUGUAGUCC
rnacentral:rRNA from 1 species